rnacentral:misc_RNA from 1 species
GAAUAUGGAUAUAAUUGGUGUACCAGAUGUAACGGGUGAAGCAGAGCUGAUAUCUUCAAUGAUUACCUUCUUCAAGCGCAUAGGCCUAACAGCAUCAGAUGUUGGGUUUAAGGUCUCUAGUAGAAAGGUCUUGCAAGAAGUAUUGAGGUGCUAUUCCGUCCCAGAAAAUAUGUUUGGUAGAGUUUGCAUCAUUAUAGACAAGAUCGGAAAGAUUCCAAUGGAUGAUAUCAGGAAAGAUCUGUUGUCUGCUGACAUGUCAGAGGUAGCUAUUGAAGACCUAUUGCAAGUUCUAUCAUUGAAGUCUUUGGCAAAGUUAGAAGAGAAACUUGGGGCCUCAGGAGAAGCACUAUCUGAUUUGAAGCAACUAUUUUCACUUGCUGAGAAGUAUGGCUAUUCAGAGUGGCUUGAGUUUGAUGCAUCAAUUGUCCGUGGUUUGGCCUAUUACACUGGGAUUGUGUUUGAGGGAUUUGAUCGCGAAGGAAAGCUCCGG